CCUUGAAAAAUGCGACCCUGAACAGGUCUUCCUUUAAGUGAGUUGGACAUUGUAUUGGACAACCGAACAGCCAUCUUCUGGUCCUCCUCUAUGCUGUCUUUUCCAAACCAACAGCACAAAAGGUAAUCUUCUUUCCUAUCACCUGAGUGGUAGGUGUAAAGUAUGAUGUAGCAAUCUCCACUAUAAAAUUUACCAAUAUCUUCCUUAGGCAAUGGAGUCUUUGCACUACCAUUGAUGCACCACACCUCCAUCUUUCCACCUCCUUCAAGCAAAGGUGGGACUUCCUCAUUAACAGGAGCACUUUUUGCCAUACCCUUGACACCAACACCUUGUUGCUUCAGCAGAGCUGCUACUUUUCCUCUUCCCUCUUCAGCACCAGGAGCUGCUGACCCAGCUGGCCAGGAAUCAAAGUUUGAUUUGAAUGAAUGUGUCUCAUAUCCUUGAAUAACCCGGGUUAUACGAGUAGCUUUUGGCCUGUUUUGGCUCACAACAAAUUCCUCAGCAGCCUGGCUGGCAGCUUUUCU
rnacentral:misc_RNA from 1 species